rnacentral:rRNA from 1 species
GACGAACCGUGCAAACGUUGUUCGGAAUCACUGGGCUUAAAGGGCGCGUAGGCGGCUUGCAUAGUCGGUGGUGAAAUCCUGCAGCUUAACUGUAGAAGUGCCUCCGAUACUAGCAAGCUCGAGGGAGGUAGGGGUCUGCGGAACUUCUGGUGGAGCGGUGAAAUGCGUUGAUAUCAGAAGGAACGCCGGUGGCGAAAGCGGCGGACUGGACCUCUUCUGACGCUGAGGCGCGAAAGCUAGGGGAGCAAACGGG